rnacentral:rRNA from 1 species
UACAGAGGUUGCAAGCGUUGUUCGGAAUCACUGGGCGUAAAGCGCACGUAGGUGGUCUGCUAAGUCGUGUGUGAAAUGCCCCGGCUCAACCGGGGAAUGGCGCACGAUACUGGCAGGCUCGAGGUCGGGAGGGGUGAGUGGAACUGCGAGUGUAGAGGUGAAAUUCGUAGAUAUUCGCAAGAACACCAGUGGCGAAGGCGGCUCACUGGCCCGAUACUGACGCUGAGGUGCGAAAGCGUGGGGAGCAAACAGG